UACGUAGGGUGCAAGCGUUAAUCGGAAUUACUGGGCGUAAAGCGUGCGCAGGCGGUGAUGUAAGACAGUUGUGAAAUCCCCGGGCUCAACCUGGGAACUGCAUCUGUGACUGCAUCGCUGGAGUGCGGCAGAGGGGGAUGGAAUUCCGCGUGUAGCGGUGAAAUGCGUAGAUAUGUGGAGGAACACCGAUGGCGAAGGCAGCCUUCUGGGCCAACACUGACGCUCAUGCACGAAAGCGUGGGGAGCAAACAGG
rnacentral:rRNA from 1 species